CCGGGCUAGAAGCGACGCA
rnacentral:sRNA from 1 species